rnacentral:rRNA from 1 species
UGGCGGUUAAAGCGCCGGGGUCCCACCUCAUCCCAUUCCGAACUGAGAAGUUAAGCCCGGCCGCGCCGAUGGUACUGCACUACCAUGUGGAAGAGUAGGUCGUCGCCA